CGUGCCGUGCUAGUGCGUGGGCCGGUAUCCUGCCAUCUUAAGGUGGCGUACUACCCGCCUUCCUUAGCCCGCGCGCGGGUUGAUCAGGCGGACUGAAUAAAUCCGCGGCGCAAAACAGGGGCAGCAGGCCGGGGUCGGCUCGGCUGCGCGCGCGGUACCGGAGGAGGAGGGAGCGGAGGGGCCGGGCGGCGCGGGAGGAGCACAGCACGAAGGAGGAGACGAAGGACGGCGCGGUACAACGGCGGCCGCGGCGCCCCCGCCCCCCGAUGCAGUGGCAGAGGUGGCGGUCGAAGCGGCGCAGCUCGCGCUGGACGCUGCUUGGGCCGGGUCACUAGCGCGGCGCCGUCUCCUUGCCGUGCGACCGCCACGACGCCGACCGCGUGACCGUGCCCGGAACACCGGGCAGCUGCCGCAGCCGCCACCGCCGGGGCAGCAAGCGGCUCUACGUUGCAAGCCUGGUCGCCGCGCACCUCAUAUAGGUCUCCUCCCACAGGCCCCCGCCGUGCGCCCCCCGCUUAUUCCCCCCGAACGUCGUCGCCGUCGUCGUCGAGCGCCGGCCGAGGUCCAGCCGCUGCCACGGCUGGUGGUACCCGCAGCCGUGCAAGGUCAUGCACCACUGCCACUCGGACCCGUGCGGCCCGCACAGCGUCUGCUACCUCCACCUGUGCCCGUCGCUGCACAGCACCCACGUCACGUUCGGGACGCGGCGCGGCCGCACGAUGUCGGUCUCCCUGGUCGACAAGCUGGGCCGGUUCAGCAGGUGGAUGAGGCGGCACGGCACGCCGAGCGUGCGCACGAGCCUGGAACCCUAGAUGCUCCGGCCGACGAGCCCCAGCGUCACGCCCAUGCACCAGUCGAUGGGCCGCAGAUGCCGAGGCUGUGCGACCGCGACCGCGGCCCGUCGUGCCACCCGUGCAAGGAGAAGCCCACACCGGUGCGCGUCCGCCCCGACAAGCGGCCGUAGCUGCCCGAGGAGCGCGAGCCGGCCGUCCGGUACAGCGAGUUCAGCGUCCGCCGCCCGCGCAUGCCGCCCCAGAAGAGGAUGACGGAGGGAAGCUUCGGCUCGAGGCGCCCCAUGGACUGCGACCCGCCCGGCUCGUCGCGCAGCCCCAAGCGCUGCUGCCCCGACGACUGCCGCACCCGGCGCGGCUGCAAGAUGUACCACUACGAGUGCCCGUAGUCGCACCCGCCCGUCGGCCACCGGCAGGGCCGCAGCCGCAAGCGCCCCCCGCGCCACCACCUGUGCCCCUGCCACUAGUGCGCCGACGGCGGGUGCCGCAUGCGCCGCGACGCCAGCCGCAAGGCGCCGCGGUAGCGCGGGAUGCCCAUGGGCAGCCACGGCCGGUUGCCCUAGGACCUGUGCACGAUGCUGAAGUCGGCCAUGCCGCACCACUGCGACGGCUGCCACCGCGACUGCAAGUCGCCGCCGCGCUGGUACCGGGACCUCCGGGGGCCCUAGGACAGCUCGCCCACGGAGCGCAAGCGCGGGUUGCCGCCGCUGCCACUGCGCCGGUAGGAGCCGUCGCACGUCGUCGCCAGGAAGCGCCACGCGAAGCUGCCGCCGUGGCAGCCCAAGUACGGGCCGCGCACGACUAAGUGAGUCGCUAAGAAACUGAAAAAAAUUGUGUCCUGUUGGGAGUAUGUAUGUGCGUAUGUGAGUGGAGAUAUUUGUAUAAUCAUCGUCCUCAUAUUUGUAUGCAUGAAGCAUUCAUAUGGUGUACAUGUACAUGUACAUGCAUGUGCUUUUCCUUUUCCAUCUGCUUAUGUACCGCCCUACUGCAUCCAAGAAUGCAACAAAAAAAAUCCGUUUCGUUACGAAAUAUUGAAUUGACACGCAUCCGUAUAGUGGGUUGUGUAUUCGUCGGUGACUCCCGCCAUGUAACCAGACGGUUAGGUAUGUACGUGGUCCAUUUGUAGAUGUCGGUGACUCCCGAGUACACGAUGACGUAAAAGUAAUGCGCUUGUUUGCGAGUGGG
rnacentral:rRNA from 1 species